rnacentral:rRNA from 1 species
UACGUAGGGGGCUAGCGUUGUCCGGAAUCAUUGGGCGUAAAGCGCGCGUAGGCGGCCCGGUAAGUCCGCUGUAAAAGUCAAAGGCUCAACCUUUGAAUGUCAGUGGAUACUGCCGGGCUAGAGUCCGGAAGAGGCGAAUGGAAUUCCUGGUGUAGCGGUGAAAUGCGCAGAUAUCAGGAAGAACACCCGUGGCUAAGGCGGUUCUCUAGUACGGUACUGACGCUGAGACGCGAAAGCGUGGGGAGCGAACAGG